UGUUUGGUUUGCAGGCUGGUACUCAAUCCACUGAGCCACACCAGUCAGGCUACUAUUAAAUGCUUUUUUUUUUAACCAUAUGCUAAGCUCUUUCCAUCAAUUAUUCAUUUGAUCCUUUCAUAACUUUUUUUUUCAUAUUGAAAUUAGGGGAAUUGAGGCCCAGAGAAGUAAUACCAAGUGCUCAAGGUCACACAUUUUGGUAAGUGGCAAGCGAGGCCUUGGGGCAGGUUGGUCUGACUGAUAAACUGGAUUCUAUACACUGUACCUCUUCUCUGUCCCUCUGUCCAUCUUUCAGCUCUGUCUCCCUUCUCUCCUUAGGGAUUCCUUGAGUACCCAUCCUAUACUAGUUUGGGGGUGGAAUUACAGAGCUAGAGGAUAUAGGCCGUCACUUAAGCAACUCAAAAUUGAGCUGUUGGGGACAAACAAAUACUUCUGACCCUUUAUAAGGUGCAGGAAGCCCAGUCAGGAGUUCUUUGCCUGAGCCUGGAUCCUAGAGAUUGUCAAGUCUGAGGCUGUGGUCUUGCUUCCUUGGGAGUCUGAGCCUUUGGGACCAUGCUGGGCUGAGCAUGGCUCUCCAGGCAACCUUAGAGCACCAGAAGCUGCUGUGGUUUCUUUCCUCUGUGGCUGUCCUGUGAUGUGGUUUAAUAAGCAGGAACUGUGCUUAAGGUCUCCUGUUUACUUAAGCCUAUUCCCCUAUCUCCUGAAUUCUCCCAUAGCCAGUGAUGUGCAAAGAAGACAGGGGACAUGUCUUGAGACCUGGCUUUGUGCUCGGCUCCAGACUGGGCAUUUCAGAUGUUGGAUAUUUUAUAUCAAUGUCCUGAAACCCCUGUGCAGUGGAUUGUGUUCUGUCUAAUCUCGCAGUGGAAGAGCCCCAAGAUCAGAGUAUGAAGUAUCUCUUAUGUCAUCUCUGUGUUCACAACUCUCUUGUGAUUCUAUGCCUCUUUCAAAAUCUGUUUCAAAAUCCCUAAGUCCUAGAAGAAAGGCCCUCUACAACCUUGGCCCUGCUCAUCUCAUUGACUUGACUUCCUGCAUGUCUGCCACAGCACCCUGGCUUUCCUGCCUCCCAGGACCUGCUGGGACAUCCCACCUGGGCCCGUUAUUUGCGGUGUUCAUGCUCCCCCACCUGGUUCUCUCCUUUUUCUCUUCAAUUUUUUUCUCAUGACUUUGAUUUUGAAGGUUUUGGUGGUCAAAUAGAACACAUUUGGCUUAUAGAAUUACCCUGAGGUUAAUUUGUAACAAAAUUGUUUGUAAAGUGAUGUUCUUUUUGUUUGAGUAUGCACAAGUAAGGCAAACAACGCAGGGUCAAGGUCAAAUACAUUUCUUACAGUUUUUGAGGUUUGUAGAGCUAGGGUCUCUAGAUCUCUUACUAUUUUGAAUUCCUUUGGACGUGGGUCUUUGUACCUGAAAUAGCUUCAAUAUGCACAUUUCUAACAAAGUCCUAUCUGAUGACUUGCUCAGAAAUCCGUGGUUUUCUCUCUCUUUUUAUUAAAGAUUUCAGCAGAAUAUGGGAUUUCUGACUUCUGAGUCAGUCACCUCUAGGAACUUUUUUGGUAAAACAAAUCUGGUCUUCUCUGUGAAGCGCCUCCUUGCUCUGCAGACUGUGAGGUGGAUGGAAUUCACUUGCUAGUCACUAUGGCAUUUCUUGCUGCUAAUUUUACUUUUGCUCUGAGAUAUCUAUAAUUGGUCCACCCAUCGUGGCUCCAUAUUGAUGAUGCAGUGUGUGAUGGUCUGUGUCACGUGAUGAGUAUGCCCAGAUUUCUCUACAUAAUACUUCCCACUCUUUAAAGUGUAAGUGUGGAUUCAGAAUUUAUUAUCUGUUUUGAUUUGGGGUGUCAUUACACAAAUCCCUGGGUCCUCUUUUGUGAGAAGCGCAGAA